GCAAUCUGUAAGUCAGUGAGUCAAGCAUACGAGAAAAGAAUACAUCAAUAGAUUGAUUUACCUAAACUUAUUUUGAAUUCACCUCUCUGGUUUUAGAUGUCUUAAGGUGAGAACUGCAUUAGGCCCUUUGCUAGAGUUGGAAGGAAAAUAUUUGUGCGUUGUCGAAGAGUGCACUAAAUCCUUUCAACUUUAUUUUUCCUAGUUUGAACCCUUCCUAUAGUCUUUCAGUAAAGUGUUGAGUGAUAUUUACUGUGAAUUAUAAUGUGCCCCACAUUAUUAAGCCAGAAACUCCAGAGUUCCUUGUGUAUAGUCAUGAAUUGUUACUGGAAUCCCUGGCCUAAUCUCAUUUACUUUUUCAGUGAGUCACUUAGUGAGGGUUCUUUGGUUGGCAGACUUCAUCUUAAGUUUUAAAACAACUUAAAUCUCAAGUAUGAAAUUAGUAAUAUUUGAGUUAAUGAGUUUAAGCAUUGAAGGAAUCUCUUGCUGUUCACUGCCAGCUGUGUUAUUUAUCUGAUGGGAUGUUUUCUGAACUAAGCAUCAUAACUACUUACAGCCUUUUUGCUUGAAGCAUUUCAUAAACUUGAAUUAAUCUUUUCUAUUUCUGAUCUUGUACUAAUUGUUCUCAAGUUGUUAAAGGUACUUUUGUCUCCCUAAAUAGUUCCUGGAAUUGAUGAUUCUUUCUUAUUUCACAAUCAUUCCCACCUGUGCCUUGCACAAUAUAAAUAAUAGCUAAAUUGGGGUAUUUAUUAUAUGGCAGUUACUUUUCUGUGCAUAUUGUGUGUUUUAAUUCAUUUAAUCCUGUGGACAGCUAUCACUUAUUGGAAAAUAGGGUUGAGUAAUUUCCCGAGCUUUCAGAGCUGAUGGUAGAGCCUAGGGUUAAACCCAAAUUUUAGAGUUUGAGAGCCAGUGUGUGGUAACUACUAUACAUAGUGCCUUGUAUCUACAGUAG
rnacentral:lncRNA from 1 species